rnacentral:rRNA from 1 species
GGUGGACAAUUAAGUCAGAGGUGAAAUCCUGCAGCUCAACUGUAGAAUUGCCUUUGAAACUGGUUGUCUUGAGUCAUUAUGAAGUGGUUAGAAUGUGUAGUGUAGCGGUGAAAUGCAUAGAUAUUACACAGAAUACCAAUUGCGAAGGCAGAUCACUAAUAAUGUACUGACACUGAUGGACGAAAGCGUGGGUAGCGAACAGGAUUAGAUACCCUGGUAGUCCACGCCGUAAACGAUGGUUACUAGCUGUUCGGACUUCGGUCUGAGUGGCUAAGCGAAAGUGAUAAGUAACCCACCUGGGGAGUACGUUCGCAAGAAUGAAACUCAAAGGAAUUGACGGGGGCCCGCACAAGCGGUGGAGCAUGUGGUUUAAUUCGAUGAUACGCGAGGAACCUUACCAGGGCUUAAAUGUAGAGUGACAGGUCUAGAAAUAGAUUUUUCUUCGGACUCUUUACAAGGUGCUGCAUGGUUGUCGUCAGCUCGUGCCGUGAGGUGUCAGGUUAAGUCCUAUAACGAGCGCAACCCCUGUUGUUAGUUGCCAGCGAGUAAUGUCGGGAACUCUAGCAAGACUGCCAGUGCAAACUGUGAGGAAGGUGGGGAUGACGUCAAAUCAUCACGGCCCUUACGUCCUGGGCUACACACGUGCUACAAUGGUAGGUACAGAGAGCAGCCAAUGCGUGAGCAUGAGCGAAUCUACAAAACCUAUCUCAGUUCGGAUCGGAGUCUGCAACUCGACUCCGUGAA